rnacentral:tRNA from 1 species
GCCUGGGUAGCUCAGUGGUAGAGCAUUUCCUUGGUAAGGAAAAGGUCGGCAGUUCAAUCCUGCUCCCAGGCUCCA